rnacentral:rRNA from 1 species
AUACGUAGGGUGCAAGCGUUAAUCGGAAUUACUGGGCGUAAAGCGUGCGCAGGCGGUUUUGUAAGAAAGUGGUGAAAUCCCCGGGCUCAACCUGGGGACUGCCAUUGUGACCGCAAGGCUGGAGGGCGGCCGAGGGGGAUGGAAUUCCCGCGGUAGCAGGGAAAUGCGUAGAUAUGCGGAGGAACACCGAUGGCGAAGGCAAUCCCCUGGGCCUGCACUGACGCUCAUGCACGAAAGCGUGGGGAGCAAACAGGAUUAGAUACCCUGGUAGUCCACGCCCUAAACGAUGUCAACUGGUUGUUGGGGAUUUAUUUUCUCAGUAACGAAGCUAACGCGUGAAGUUGACCGCCUGGGGAGUACGGCCGCAAGGUUAAAACUCAAAUGAAUUGACGGGG